GACGAACGCUGGCGGCGUGCUUAACACAUGCAAGUCGAACGGAAAGGCCCUGCUUUUGUGGGGUGCUCGAGUGGCGAACGGGUGAGUAACACGCGAGUAACCCGCCCCUGUCUUUGGGAUAACUCCAGGAAACUGGGGCUAAUACCGGAUAUGAGCUCCUGCUGCAUGGGGGGGGUUGGAAAGUUUCGGCGGUUGGGGAUGGACUCGCGGCUUAUCAGCUUGUUGGUGAGGUAGUGGCUUACCAAGGUUUUGACGGGUAGCCGGCCUGAGAGGGUGACCGGCCACAAUGGGACUGAGAUACGGCCCAGACUCCUACGGGAGGCAGCAGUGGGGAAUAUUACACAGUAGGCGGAAGCCAGAUGCAGAAACGCCGCGUGCGGGAUAACGGCCUUCGAGUUGUAAACCGCUUUCGACGGUGACGAAGCGGGAGUGACGGUAAUGGGUAAAGAAGCACCGGCUAACUACGUG
rnacentral:rRNA from 1 species